GCGGAGGGAUCAUUACUGAGUGAGGGCCUUCGGGCUCGACCUCCAACCCUUUGUGAACACAACUUGUUGCUUCGGGGGCGACCCUGCCGUUUCGACGGCGAGCGCCCCCGGAGGCCUUCAAACACUGCAUCUUUGCGUCGGAGUUUAAGUAAAUUAAACAAAACUUUCAACAACGGAUCUCUUGGUUCUGGCAUCGAUGAAGAACGCAGCGAAAUGCGAUAAGUAAUGUGAAUUGCAGAAUUCAGUGAAUCAUCGAAUCUUUGAACGCACAUUGCGCCCUCUGGUAUUCCGGAGGGCAUGCCUGUUCGAGCGUCAUUUCACCACUCAAGCCUGGCUUGGUAUUGGGCGCCGCGGUGUUCCGCGCGCCUCAAAGUCUCCGGCUGAGCUGUCCGUCUCCAAGCGUUGUGAUUUCAUUAAUCGCUUCGGGGUGCGGGCGGCCGCGGCCGUUAAAUCUUUCACAAGGUUGACCUCGGAUCAGGUAGGGAUACCCGCUG
rnacentral:rRNA from 1 species